rnacentral:rRNA from 1 species
GAUGAACGCUGGCGGCGUGCCUAAUACAUGCCAGUCGAGCGAACGGACGAGAAGCUUGCUUCUCUGAUGUUAGCGGCGGACGGGUGAGUAACACGUGGAUAACCUACCUAUAAGACUGGGAUAACUUCGGGAAACCGGAGCUAAUACCGGAUAAUAUUUUGAACUGCAUGGUUCAAAAGUGAAAGACGGUCUUGCUGUCACUUAUAGAUGGAUCCGCGCUGCAUUAGCUAGUUGGUAAGGUAACGGCUUACCAAGGCAACGAUGCAUAGCCGACCUGAGAGGGUGAUCGGCCACACUGGAACUGAGACACGGUCCAGACUCCUACGGGAGGCGGCAGUAGGGAAUCUUCCGCAAUGGGCGAAAGCCUGACGGAGCAACGCCGCGUGAGUGAUGAAGGUCUUCGGAUCGUAAAACUCUGUUAUUAGGGAAGAACAUAUGUGUAAGUAACUGUGCACAUCUUGACGGUACCUAAUCAGAAAGCCACGGCUAACUACGUG